rnacentral:sRNA from 1 species
GUUUGCAGUCGGCGCGUUAGGGGAACUGUCUUCCUCCGCAGGCGCGAGGCUGGGUACAGGGUCUAUUGUCUGUGGUUGACUCCGUACUUUGGUCUGAGGCCGUCGGGAGCUUUCCCGAGGCAGUUAGCAGAAGCCGCAGCGGCCGCCCCCGCCCGUCUCCUCUGUCCCUGGGCCCGGGAGGGACCAACUUCGCGUCACGCCCCUCAGCGGUGGCCACUCUCUUCUCUGUCGUUGGGUCCGCAUCGUAUUCCCGGAAUCAGACGGUGCCCCAUAGAUGGCCAGCUUUCCCCCGAGGGUCAACGAGAAAGAGAUCGUCUCUUGCAUGGCACCAAGAAUGUUACCAAUUCAAGCAGUUUAAGAUUGCCAAGACAAAAUAGUGAUGGUGGUCAGAAAAAUAAGCCUCGUGAACAUAUUAUAGACUGUGGAGAUAUUGUCUGGAGUCUUGCUUUUGGGUCGUCAGUUCCAGAAAAACAGAGUCGCUGUGUAAAUAUAGAAUGGCAUCGCUUCAGAUUUGGACAAGAUCAGCUACUUCUUGCUACAGGGUUGAACAAUGGGCGUAUCAAAAUAUGGGAUGUAUAUACAGGUAUGGAUUCAUAGUUUUUAAAGCAAAUGUAUUAUUUUAUGAUGCAGGGCACUGCUCAUAGGCGCUGGAAUUGGGAUUUGAGGAUUUCAGCUUAGUGAAAAGCAAGAAUUGAUG